CGAAACAAAAAUUUUGAUUCCUAUUACCAGUUCAUUCCUAUUAGCAUUACCACUAUGUUACUUUUGCCCACCUUCGUUGGCGUCACCCAAAUGAAUAUGGGAUACAGUAUAUAGUUAGGAUAUUCAUAUUUGCCGCUUCAUUUGAAUGACAAGACAAACCUUCAUCAACACUCUAACAAUGAGUUUAGACUCGGUUCGCUCGGCGGGCUCUUCCGGCCAAAAGUCUAAGCGAAGUCUGAAUCCCUCCUGUUCCGAUCUCUCCAGUAACAGUAAGAAGCAGAAGAAAGAGACGAACCAGAAAACCCUAGGUGCUGCUUGGGGCUCCAGUUCUCUCUCUUCCUCUCGCUCUUCAUUCCGUAAAUCCCCCUUCUCCGAUUUCGGCAGCUAUAUGGUAGAAAAGAAUAAGAAACUCCAUAAUCAGUUCAAUGGAGUGGCUUCAAAUUCUUUGAACAGUAGCUCCAGUUCUGAGCAAUCAAUAUUUAGAGGAGUUUCUAUCUUUGUUGAUGGUUUUACCGUUCCCUCCAGUCAGGAACUGCGGGGAUACAUGUUGAAGAAUGGUGGAAGAUAUGAGAACUACUUUUCAAGGCGUCGUGUCACCCAUAUUAUAUGUAGUAAUCUUCCCAGCAGUAAACUAAAAAACCUGAGGUCUUUCAGUGGAGGGCUUCCGGUGGUGAAACCCACUUGGGUUGUAGAUUCUGUUGCAGCUAGCAAACUCUUGAGUUGGGUCCCUUACCAACUGGUCCAGCUUGCUGACAACCAGCCAAGGUUGUCAGCUUUCUUUGCUACUAAACUCUCUGUCGAGGAUUCUUGUCUUGUUAAUUAUGACAAUGAGCUUACAUCUAAUAGAGGAAGUCUACUAACGGAGGAGGAUUAUUUAUCUGAAGUUGGUGAAGAAACUGAAUACAUAAACCAAAAUGGAGGAGAGUCUGAUGAUACUGCACAUCAAAAGAUUCAAACACUAAUCGAGAAACCAACUAUUGGAAGUGAAAAGUCUUUGGAAAUGAAAAUAGCACAUACAUACAACCUUGAUGCAGAAGAUGAUAGCAGUGUGAAAGAUUCUGUUCAAGGGGGUCCUUCUCAGCCCUCUGCCUCACUCAACAAUUACUGCUUAGAGGCUUCACCAAACUCACCAGCUAUUGGGUCUUAUGGGUGUCAUUCAACUCUCACUGAUCCAAAUUUUGUGGAAAAUUAUUUCAAGAGUUCGAGGCUGCACUUUAUAGGAACCUGGAGAAACAGGUACCGUAAGCGUUUUCCUUGCCAGUCUAAAUGGAUCAAGAAUACCAAUUCAAAUCCUUCUUCAGCUGAUUUGCUCAGGACAGCUAUUAUCCACAUUGACAUGGACUGCUUUUUUGUCUCAGUUGUCAUCAGGAAUGAUCAUAAUUUGAAGGAUAAGCCUGUGGCUGUAUCCCAUUCGGACAGUCCCAAAGGAACUGCUGAAAUUUCGUCUGCCAAUUAUCCUGCUCGUGUUUAUGGAGUAAGAGCUGGAAUGUUUGUUAGAGAUGCCAAGGCUCUUUGUCCUCACUUAGUCAUUUGUCCCUAUAAUUUUGAAGCAUAUGAAGAGGUUGCUGAUCAGUUCUAUAACAUAUUGCACAAGCAUUGCAAGAAAGUACAGGCUGUCAGCUGUGAUGAAGCAUUCUUAGAUGUUACAGACUCAGAAGGUAAAGAUCCUGAGAUUUUAGCUUCAACUAUAAGAAAGGAAAUUUUUGAGACAACCGGAUGCACUGCAAGUGCUGGCAUAGCUGGGAAUAUGCUUUUGUCUCGCCUGGCCACCAGAAAUGCUAAGCCAGAUGGCCAGUGUUAUAUUCCUCCAGAGAAGGUGGAUGAUUACUUGCGUCAACUACCAAUUAAGGAACUUCCAGGAAUAGGACAUGUCCUACAAGAGAAGUUGAAAAAGCGAAACGUUCAUACCUGUGCACAGUUAUGUUUAAUCUCUAAGGAAUGUCUUCGAAAGGACUUUGGAGCAAAAACAGGGGAGAUGUUAUGGAACUAUAGUAGGGGAAUAGAUACUAGACUUGUUGGGAUGAUUCAGGAAAGCAAGUCCAUAGGAGCCGAAGUGAAUUGGGGUGUGAGAUUUAAAGAUCCAAAAGAUAGUCAAAACUUCCUUUCAAGCCUUUGCAAGGAGGUCUCAUUGCGCUUGCAAGGAUGUGGAGUGCAGGGCCGCUCAUUUAUCCUUAAAAUUAAAAAGAGGCGAAAAGAUGCAGAAGAGCCUGCAAAGUAUUUGGGUUGUGGAGAUUGUGAAAAUUUGAGCCAUUCCCUUACGGUUCCUGUUGCUACUGAUGAUGUGGAGGUGCUUAAGAGAAUAACAAAGCAGCUAUUUGGGCUGUUCAACAUAGAUGUUAAGGAGAUUAGGGGUAUUGGCUUGCAAGUUUCCAAGCUUGAGAAUGCAGAUUCAUUUAGGCAAGGGUCUGAGAAAAACUCUUUGAAAUCAUGGUUGAAAUCUUCCUCGGUAAGUUCAGAGAAAUGUGAUUAUGUACCAGGCAAGAAGACAUUAGUAGAUUGUGAGGUACUGAGAUCUGAUGGAAUUUGCGGACAGUUAUAUGAAGAGACCCUUGUUACGAAUUCAGUGGAUAGCAAUCCCUCUAAUGGGGAAUCUAGCUUUAACUCAAAUUCAGCACCUCCACCUUUUUCUCAUCUUGAUUUUGGAGUUGUAGGGAAUCUUCCUCCAGAUAUUUUUUCAGAGCUAAAUGAAAUUUAUGGAGGGAAGUUAGUUGAUUUUGUUGCUAAAAGUAACAGCAAAGGCAAAGGAAAAGUGAAUGAGGGAGAACGGCUUCCCCUUCACAAUCUGGUGCAUAAAGACAAAUUAUCAAGUAAAGAUGAGCCACAACCAAUGCCUUCUGUGGGAGGAUUGCAUAAUUUUCCCAGGCCAGAUCUUGAGAAUGCUGAUAUAAUGCCUUCAUCUUUGAGUCAAGUAGAUACAUCGGUGUUACGACAAUUGCCUCAAGAACUGAGAGUUGAUAUACUUGAGCCGCUUCCUGCACACAGGUUACAAGGACUUCCUUUAAAUUCUUCCUUGAGCCCUUAUUCAGAACAUCCAUAUCCACUAAAUUCAUUAAAUAUCAACGAGGCUGAAAAUAAUCUUGAGUCAACUGAUUCUAUGUCAAACAAUGACCUCUGGGUCGGAAGUCCUCCCAAGUGGGUUGAUGAAUUCAGCGAGAACAAUUGUGUAAUAUUGAAUAUACUUGCGGAGAUGUAUUACAAGUCAGGAUCAAGUCGAAAUUUAUCUUCAAUUCUACGAUGUACUACUUUGGAAUUUCAGCAUAUUAUAGAUGCUCCUGGGUAUGAAGGUUGGGAUGAAGCUUUACACAAAUUUUCGGAGGUUGUCAAGCAGUAUGUCAAAUUAAAGAUUGAGAUGGAUAUUGAAGAGAUCUAUAUUUGUUUCCGUCUGAUACAAAGGUAGAGAUGCAUCUUUGUGAUGUUUGGCCUGGUGGUCUGGCCUGUUCUCGUGAGCCCAUGCUGGGUAGCUGGUUAGAACGACCUGACACUACCCAUUAAUUACGUGGUCUGUGGCGGGCUAACUCAUGCAUCUGUUAGUGAAAGCUAUGGAGGAAACUUGCACUUACCCUUUGGUUAGUGCUUGAAUGUGAUGCAUCAACAUCCCAAGUGGAGUUGGAAAGGAUUAAAGCACAAAAAUUUGAAGAAAAUGUGAGGCAACUGAAAAAGACAACAAAGAAAAGUCUGUCAGAUUUAUAAAAAAUGGUGGCUGUUGUGAGAUUGAAACUUGACUAGUUGUCGACAGGAAGCGAAAAUUCUAACAACAAAAGCAACGAUUACUAAUAAUAGAUGGUCAAAGAAUAUAUAUAUAAGAAUUGAAAAAGAGGCGAUGAAUAUGUUGGAUUCCUGCGAAUGUUGUAGCAUCUCUGUGACAACUGGAAGAAAUCAGCAGCUUAAUGAGACACAUGUCAUCUCUGUGACAACUGGAAGAAAUCAGCAGCUUGAUGAGACACAUUUCAUCUCUGUGACAACUGGAAGAAAUCAGCAGCUUAAUGAAACACAUGUUUUGAGGAGUUAGUAAGCCCAACAGUAAGACAAGCUGAAGAGGUGUUGAGGAAAGUGUCAUACUAUCCUUUUGUGCUCACCUAAACAUCUUUGUUGCCCUAGAAAAAAGAUAAAAAGAAUUAAGUAGUCAGCCCCCAAGGAUGUAAGAGGAGAACAAGGAGAGAUGUCAGAAUAAUUAGGAUCAAUUAGGAAUCAAUUAAGUGUAAUUUUAAUUUAAUUACUCAAGAUUUCAGUUUCCUUUUUGGUUGUAAUUCUCUUUUUUUUUUGAGGUUGUAAUUCUCCUUGAUUUAAGGAGAUUUAAGGAAAGUUAGGGUUGUAAUGUGCUAUUUAUACAUCUGUUUUUCAUGAGUAAAAUAAAACAAUAUUCCAUGGCCAUUUA